UACGUAGGGUGCAAGCGUUAUCCGGAAUUAUUGGGCGUAAAGAGCUCGUAGGCGGUUUGUCGCGUCUGCUGUGAAAACUGGAGGCUCAACCUCCAGCCUGCAGUGGGUACGGGCAGACUAGAGUUCGGUAGGGGAGACUGGAAUUCCUGGUGUAGCGGUGAAAUGCGCAGAUAUCAGGAGGAACACCGAUGGCGAAGGCAGGUCUCUGGGCCGAUACUGACGCGAGGAGACGAAAGCGUGGGGAGCGAACAGG
rnacentral:rRNA from 1 species